rnacentral:tRNA from 1 species
GUCGGCGCCGCGGGCGGACCACCCGGGGUUGAUGCUCUCGGGGACGACGAGAAUGCGUGUCGCGUCCGACGGCGCGACGUCGACC